rnacentral:rRNA from 14 species
CAGCAACUAUUCAAAUGAGAACUUUGAAGACUGAAGUGGAGAAGGGUUUCAUGAGAACAUCAAUUGGUCAUGAGUGACUCGGUCCUAAGGUCAGGGGUAGUCCCGCGAAGACGCAGUCCAGGCCGAAAGGGAAGAUGGUCAAAAUUCCAUCAGCUAGCGGUGGGUGCUGUGUGGCAACACUACUGAACUCAGAGACGUCGGGGCGAGGUCCCAGGGAGAGUUCUCUUCUCUUCUUAACAAAUCGCUGCCCUGGAGGUCAUUGCGACGAGAUAGGGCUUUAGAUUUGGCAGAGCAGCACGCCUCCUGUGCUGUCUGGUGUACCUCCUUCGGCCCUUGAAAAUCUGAGGGAAACCUUAUCGCACGCUAGGCCGUACCGAUAACCGCAUCAGGUCUCCAAGGUGAACAGCCUCUAGUCGAUAGAAUAAAGUAGAUAAGGGAAUUCGGCAAAAUAGAUCUGUAACUUUGGGAAAAAGAUUGGCUCUGAGGGUUAGGCCGUAGUCUUCUGAACCUCGCCAAGCGGUCCAGUGUGUGAGGCAACUCCGCACGACUGCUGAAACGAGCUAGGAAAGACGAAAGCAGUGAAUAACCGACUCAGAACUGGAGCAGCGAGAGGAAUCCGACUGUUUAAUUAAAACAAAGCAUUGUGACGGCUGCAAACGGUGUUGACACAAUGUGAUUUCUGCCCA